rnacentral:misc_RNA from 1 species
UAGUGUGUUAAUUUUUGAGUUACCAUCAAUAAUGAUGAUUUGUAAUAUAGAUAAACUUGUUAGUUUUCAUUCACUAUAACCAACUGAUUAGAUUAAAAAAUAACAUUAAUGUUUCAGGGAGUAAAAUAUAAUUUACAGGGACUAUUUUGGUCUUUGUAAUUAAAUGAGGACUUAAUUGAAUUAAAUAUUCGAAAUUAUGUGGUUAAAUAUUAUAUAUUUAGCCGUUUAGGGUUAAUUUGUAAUUAAUUUAAAGAGAUAAAUUAACAAAUUAAAAUAGUUGGCACACUAUAUAAAAUGGGUGCUAUAUGACCCAAAUUUAGUGAUAGAAGAGUGCAAUUUGUGUAGAUUACUUGGAGGCCGAACAUGUGAACGGUUAGUGAUUUGCAAUAAUUAUUUAUUAUAAGGUACAUAAUCAUAUUAUUUUCUAUGCACUCGUUAAAAUCAGAUCCUGUGGGA